UACGUAGGGUGCAAGCGUUAAUCGGAAUUACUGGGCGUAAAGCGUGCGCAGGCGGCUGUGCAAGACAGAUGUGAAAUCCCCGGGCUUAACCUGGGAAUUGCAUUUGUGACCGCACGGCUAGAGUGUGUCAGAGGGGGGUAGAAUUCCACGUGUAGCAGUGAAAUGCGUAGAUAUGUGGAGGAAUACCGAUGGCGAAGGCAGCCCCCUGGGAUAACACUGACGCUCAUGCACGAAAGCGUGGGGAGCAAACAGG
rnacentral:rRNA from 1 species